UGUUCGAGUGUAAAAGCCUUUUGGAGGCUUGCAGCUCGGUUCUCGAUGAAGGCAGCUCGAGUCCUCACGAGGCUAAAUCAUCCAUGUCACAAGACAUUGACAGGCUGAUUUGGAUAAUGUAGAGGAGGGGGUGCUGGGGGUCGGAGUAAACAAAAUUCCCAAAAGAACCUCCACCAAGAGGCCGACCUAUCCAACAAGACCAGAGAGGACGUUGAAAAGGGCAACGGUCCCGGUCAAAGCCGAGGAGGAGAAAUCAGAGGUGAAUGAAGAUGCUGAGAUCUCUGGGAGGAGAAGUAACAGGCUGGCAGGCCGCAGAGUCUUCAUUGACAUUCCUAAGAAGAAGUACAUGAGGAAGAUGGAGGACCAGACCAAGACGCAGACGGGAGGAUCUGCCUGACAACACUCAGACCAAGACAGCCGGUCAAGAGGAGAACACUGCGAAUACAGAGAAGGGAGGCAGGAGAGGCCCUUCCAGAGCUGCUGCCUGAAAAAGAGGGGGCGGGGCUGAGGUCAACAGACUUCGAUGAUGUGGAAGGAGAUAUACCCGAGGAUUGUCCUGAUGACUCACUUUUCUUCCCCAGGAAGGAAGCGAUGGGUGAGGAAGUUACCCUCACCAGAUCAUCUAGACAUGCUGACAACCAAAACAAGUGUGACAAGUGUCAACAGACCUUCCACUAUGAGAAUAGAUACCUAAAGCACAUCAAGACGAGCCACGGUGUGCAGGGGGAGGUGACAUACCGUUAUGACACCUGCCAGCAGAUUUUUGCCAACCUUUGAAACCCGAGGAUCCAUCAGAGACACGUCCACAGUGACGAGAGUGUACCCCUGCGACGUCUGCACCAAGACUUUCAAACGCAUGAAGGACAUGACGCGCCUCCAACGACAGGUGCAUUCGGGAGGCGGAGUGCGGCACACCGGUCUUGUGUGUAACAGGGCACUGAGCUCUAAGACAGCGUUGAGGUGGAGGGGGAGAGUGGAGUUGGAGGUAGGCCCCAGGAGGGGGCCAUGUUGGUACAUGGUCAAUGAUCCAACACACCUCCAGGCUGUGUAAGGGCUAUUUGACAAAGGAGGAGACUGAUGGAGUGCUGCAUCAGAUGACCUGGCCUCCACAAUCACUCAACCUCAACCCAAUUGAUAUGGUUUGGGAUGAGUUGGACCGCAGAGUGAAGGACAAUCACCUCAGCAUGUGGGAACUCCUUCAAGUCUAUUGGAAAAACAUUCCUCGUGAAGCUGGUUGAGAGAAUGCCAAGAGUGUGCAAAGCUGUCAAGGCAAAAGGCUGGCUACUUUAAAUAAUUUCAAAUAAAAAAUAUUUUGACUUGUUUAACACUU